UGUCCAGUAGCACCUUAGAGACCAACUAAGUUUGUUCUUGAUAUAAGCACACACACGAAAGCUUAUACCAAGAACAAACUUAGUUGGUCUCUAAGGUGCUACUGGACA